rnacentral:lncRNA from 1 species
AUAUUGCUCACAGUACUAUUAAAAAUCUUAGAUGUAGUCUUCACAAAUAACUCUCAUUUUAAGGGCUAGUGCACUUUCUUUUCAGUCCCAAAUUUACCUGCUGUGCUAAUGCAGUGUCCUCUCACAUUCUUUGUGGAAAAUUAAUUACUUGAGUAAUAAGGAUAUAUAUAAAAAAAUAUCUUCAAACAGGUUACAAAGAGUUGUUUGCACUGAAGGGAAGUUGCCCACUGCAUUUUAAGUUUGCAGCAUGAAUAAAUCUCUUUGUGUUCUCAUUUCAGGGCUUUCUCACACGCUGUGUCCCACCAUUGUGCCUGGAAGGGAGAGACAAGUACAGCCUUUUGGGCUGGCUAACCUUGUCCCAGAAGGAUUGCUCUUAAAGACCAUUUUCUGCUCUUUGCAAUCUUAAAUCCCAUGGGAGGAGAAACUUCCCCCGCUGCCCCAGAGGCAGGCUUGCCCUCUAUUACAUUUCACUUUAAGGAAAUAUUUUCUUGAUCUUCAGCCUUUAUGUCUCACUUGCUUAAUUCCUUCCCACUGCACCUAGUUAAAUUUCCUUGUACAAUCCUAAAUAAUUAAUCACCUCCUUCAUUCAUUUCAAACACUUGUUGAAUACAGAGCAGAGAACAAGAAUUGCUCAUAGGAAGAAAAGAAAUGGGAACUGGAUGAGAGAGGACCAGUUGAGAGGCGAGGAACGGGGAAAGAACGAUGCUCCAAGCAUAAAAUCCAAGCUGCUGACCUUGAAGGCUGAAGAUCUCAAAUUUUUAAGCAAGUCCAGAAAUGCAUUCUUAGACUGCAAGGGCAGUCUAAGUCUAAGAACUUCCUGGCAGAAGGCAUGACCAUUGUGCAAUGUGUCCAGCUACCAUGAGCUGAACACCCAACCAGGAUGCUAAAAUCUCUGCACCGGGAUCCCUUCCUCGCUCUCCUUCAGUGGAGAACAAGCAAUUUCUCCAGAUAAGAGCUAAGGUCUGACCCUCACCUGGUGAUAUCUCCCUAGCUUUCCCUACAGGUGUAUGGGGAUGCUCAAACAACCAAACACAUUGGUUGACUGAACCUGACGCCUGGCCACACAGAAGCUCUUAUGUCUAAGGAGACAACUUAGCACCACUACCCUGGGUUGAACUGCACAGCCCUGGGGACUGUAGGUAAGAAACUUUUCUGUGCUUUGCCCAAGGAAGAGAGGGUAGUCAGCAAGCAGGGAGAUCACUAACUGUUAGUAGAAAAGAGUAAGGCUAAAUGAGCUGAAGAAAAUGAGGCUGGAGGAGAAGAUGACACUGUGUAUGCCUCCUGUUGGGCCUGUUUGCCCUCCAUGCAAAGUUACAAUCCAGCUACUUGGUGUUGUUUCCACAAAACGUGCACUUUUUAUUUAUUCACGCCUGGGAACAUGACCUCUCAUCCAGGAGCUCUGUUCCACUGAGAGUAAAUUUAUGGCUGGCACCUGCUCCUGCAUCAGGCACAGGGAGGUGAUUUAUGGCAAAGUAAUUGCAUUCUGACCCGGUGACAAGCCAUUCUGCCGAGAUGUUGAAG